rnacentral:rRNA from 1 species
AACGAACGCUGGCGGCAUGCCUAACACAUGCAAGUCGAACGAGACCUUCGGGUCUAGUGGCGCACGGGUGCGUAACGCGUGGGAACCUUCCCUUAGGUUCGGAAUAACUCCCCGAAAGGGGUGCUAAUACCGGAUAAUGUCUUCGGCCCAAAGAUUUAUCGCCUUUGGAUGGGCCCGCGUUGGAUUAGCUAGUUGUUAGGGUAAUAGCCUACCAAGGCGACGAUCCAUAGCUGGUCUGAGAGGAUGAUCAGCCACACUGAGACUGAGACACGGCCCAGACUCCUACGGGAGGCAGCAGUGGGGAAUAGUGGACAAUGGGCGAAAGCCUGAUCCAGCAAUGACGGGUGAGUGAUGAAGGCCUUAGGGUUGUAAAGCUCUUUUAACCGGGAUGAUAAUGACAGUACCGGGAGAAUAAGCUCCGGCUAACUCCGUG